CCUACGGGAGGCAGCAGUGGGGAAUAUUGCGCAAUGGGGGCAACCCUGACGCAGCCAUGCCGCGUGUGUGAAGAAGGCCUUCGGGUUGUAAAGCACUUUCAGUUGUGAGGAAAAGUUAGUAGUUAAUACCUGCUAGCCGUGACGUUAACAACAGAAGAAGCACCGGCUAACUCCGUGCCAGCAGCCGCGGUAAU
rnacentral:rRNA from 1 species